rnacentral:misc_RNA from 1 species
GCGAAUGAGAUUCAGAAAAAUUCAAUAAAACGAGAAUACAAAAAAGUGAAAAAGUGAAAAGUAAAACAGAAAUGGGCCUUUCAUCGAAAACUUCGUAAGGUUGGUGCAGUACGUACUAGGUUCUGUACAGGGAUGUACAGAUCAGGGGCUGUUAUCAGACUACCCAGGGGGUCGUAAUGCGUCUGGUUGAAGAAACAACUAAGAUAGCAUCUCUAGAAAAUGGAAUCAAUCAAACGAAAUCAAUAUUUCGGCACGCGCGGCAUGCCGCGGACUCGCGGUAUCACGUCAGAUCUGGAUUCAAUAAGGAAGACGACAAACGUUCUCCUUCAGUAUCUAGGGAGAAAUCAGUACAUAUCUCUGCCACUAAUACAAUUUCUAGCCAUGGAGGGGAUAAGACGUUUUCUCGUCUUGGUUUGGAACCGGUUCAGACGUAUCAAUCACUUUCCCCCGGUCACGCUAUUGAUGCGGACAACGGGGCAAGUGAUGCAAUACCUCAGCGGGCAAACAAUAAUUUGCCCAGGGGGAAAAGUGAUGCAGUACAAGGGCACAAAGACAGGACACAAUAUGAUUACUAUUCAGACGAGACUUCUAAAUUUGAUGUGGUGGGACCCGUGUCUCGAGGGACUAAAGUACCAAGCCUGACACAAUUAGUUAUCAAUUCCAGAGACCCCCCUUCCAGUCCUACAGUGUACCAGCAUAGAUUAGGUUUAUUAGACCCCCGAGAACCCCGCUGUGUUAACUGCAAAAGUGCCAAAACUUCUAAAGAUAUUUCUAAUCUAAACAUUGACUCUAUAAACAGUGGAUUCCCCACACCGAAUAUAGAUAAACAUUUAAAACCGGUUUUAAGAUCAAUCAGUUAUACAACUCAUUCAUUUUAUAACCCUUCCCGGGAGGUACCUUUAGAAAACCUUGAUUUAAAACCAAGAGAACAUGUUAAUAAACAGAAGAGUGAAGCGGGUUCGGAUCGGAAAAGUUUGGAAUCGGUAAAGAAUAAACCCUGUAGAGAAACUAGACAAGGCUGUAGUUCCCAAAGCUCGAGAAAGACACGAGAUACUAAUGGAAAAUUAUUAAAUUCUGUUGAGAAAAGUCCAUCUCAAUCUUUAGAACAAUCAAUCUUUAUAAACCUUGAUACUCAGACCAAUAUUAACCAGGAGAACAAGGAGAACCAGGAGAAUCUGGAGAACCAGGAGAACCAGGAGAACCAGGAGAAACAGGAGCACCAGGAAAACCAGGAUAACCAUGGAAACCAGAAAAACCAGAAGAACCAGAUGAGCCAGAAAAACUAUGAGAACCACAAGAACCUGGAAAUCCAGAAAAUCUCCGAAAUCCAAGACAGCCCGGAAAAGGUGAAGAGCCAGGAACACCUUGAAGAAAAAAGAGGAAUAGAUGAAUUCACGUCUCAACCCUUCUCCCAUCAACCCAACCCAAACUCAAGCGUAGAAGAUAAAAAUGUUGUUUAUUCGGAUUUAGUGAAAACGAUUCAUUUCAAUCCCAGCCUUAACAAGACUCUAUCCAAACCUAGAUAUCCGGAUAGAAGAAGAAAACGGAAACAGAUACAACUGACUUCCGGUUUCGAAAGAACAGAUGUUGACCUAGUUCCUAGUCCUCGGGUUCUUCACCUCAACGGAACUGAACGCCUCCUGGAGGGAGCUCAAGACACACCUCCUGAACCCCUGACUCCAGACCAAACAUCAUUCUACUCCGCCUACGAUCCAUCGGAGGGUGUGACGACUGCUGUGGUGCUCGGAGGGUUCUUUGUAUUCGUCUGUCUCAUGGUCGUUUAUAAGUCCAAGCUGAAACCAAUGUGGAAAGAACGAAAGAAGAAACUAACCAAUACUCCUGCUACGCGUUCAGAAAUCAAUAGUUCAUUUACACAUUUUCAUAAGGAUUUCGAAUGUUUGCCACUUCAAAAGAUGCCUGGCUGCCUUCAAAACUUACAGGAGGAAGUUGAAGAAGACGACAUUUUUUACCUUGAUGAAUAUGGAAAUUAUAUUUUUCCAAUCUCCAACUCUCAAAACGGGUCCUGCUCUUGCGCUUACAGUGCACAUGAUGAUGAGGAGCGAAGAUCCAGUCUCGUCUCAGCAUUAUCAACAGCUUACACUGUCAAAAGUUUACCUGGAGCUAUGCUGUAUAUUCCUGUAGAGCAUGAUUAUAACACGCCGGUCAGCUUGAAACGAUCUCUAUCCGACCCGGAGAUAUACUUCCCAACAGCAGUAAAGCAUUCACUUAUCGUGGCGGUAAACGGACUGUUCUCAAGAGAACGGAGGGACCCUGUGCCUCGUUUGGGAUCUUGUAGAAGACGACCUCUUUGUCCUCCUAGAAUUGAGAUGGAGGAGACACUUAAAAUUGAUAUAAACGUGAUACAACCAACUCCAAAUAUAUCUCCGACUUGCAGUAUGCGCAGUAUGUCCGGGGAGUCACGUGAUACAGAAUCAGCUGAUCCAGAGAAUUUAUACGCGGGAAUACCCCUUCUUAUAGUUCCUCCUUCUCCCACUAGGAUUCGUCGAGUUUCCUUUAGUGAGCAGAAUUCGUUAGAUAGUUUAGAUCCAGGACAACAAGAACAACAAGAGCAAGACGAUCAAUUUAAUCAGCAAACCCUUCCUGUAUGUCGACAACAUGGACAACAUGGACACCAUGGACAACAUGGACACCAUGGACAUCAUGUACAGCAUGGACAACAUGGACAACACGGGAACUUAGAUACUAAAUCAAGAAGAUCAAGAUGCACAAGACAAUCAUCCCUCCAGGCCAGCGUAGAUUCUCCGACAGCGGCACGACGGCGGCGAGGACUAGGAGCUCGUCAGAUGACCCUUCCUGCCGAGCUGACCAGUCCUAUGAGCUACCUGCAAGUACCAGGACAAGAAAAACAAACUAUUUCCAGGCACUCGCCAACUGAUAGAAGACGACUUCCUAGCAGUCCAGUUCCCUGUGACGAACAGGGAUCUCCGCUUCUCGGUCGACGUCGACUCAGUCCCCAGUACAGUAUAGAAUCCUAUUAUUCAAUUGCGUCAGAAGGGGACGGGGAUAUAUUUGCGUCAAUGGAGAACUUAGGGCGUAGACCCCGACUACAACGUCAAUCUAGCUUCAUGAUUCCAGACUCUAAUUUAUCAGCCUACUCGGAGCUUAACGAGGACUUUCAUUCGUCCAUAUCUGACCUUUUCAGCAAGAGGUUAGCGAGGCUGGGAACCCAAGGAACGUUCUCAGAACAAGGUUCUCUUCGCUCCCUCUCUAUUGACCAGGAGGAAAUAAUCUUCGAGGUUCCAGGUUCUAGGAGGGAAGAGGAGGAGGAGGGACGGAGAAGACUAUUGGAGCCAAACCUGGAUUUUGUGGAAGAGCUGCCGUUUGAUGAAGGGGAGGGUUACAUCUCCUCCUCCUGUUCUAUAUCUAUGAGUUCUGAUAUAGAAUCCUCUCAUCUUAUCACAGUUCCCGUGUUUAUAGAGCCGGCACCACCAGAGAUACGGUUCCUAUCGGAGCCCGGUCUCAAUGGGGACCUGGAGUCGGGAGAUUUGGGAAACCUACUCCGAGGGGAUCCACCCAGAUUUGUCCGUCAGGAAACACUUCAUACGGACUCCGGUCUGGAUACAGAGGAUAUAUGUCCGGCUAGUCCAACAAACAGUCGAUUCUCCGCCGAUAUAACCGGGUUUGAAUCGCCCUGCCGGGUCGGCGUGGAGGAUAGGGUGGCGGAGGAAGCUCUCCGCCUUGUAUUAGUUCGAGAUAUCGGAAUACAAUGUUGUGCAGAAUCUCCGAAUCUAAACCUAAACCGUAAAAACAGAUUAGCUCAUGAGAAUCCAGACCCCAAAUUUCUGGAAAAUGACUCAGUGAUAAAUGAGGACAAAUCUCGUCAUAGCUCUAUAGAAAAGGACGAUGUCCUUGAGAAAAGUAGGACUUGUGAACCGGAAAGGACGAAACCAAUAGAAACCACGUGUUUCUCUUCUGAAAUGUUUUGAUAGUACACCUGAUCCGUAUAUCACCUGAUAGUUACACCCUAUGGAAAACCCUAAACAUCGAACUAAGGAAAAGGAUUUCUAAAUUACGAUUAUUUUGUUAAAAAUUUUGAACAGAAUGUUCUCACAGUGUGGGUUCCUAUUUCCAAGUAUGAAUAUGCAAGUUCACAUGUGAUAUUGUCUGUGUUCUGUAUAACUUGGAACAGUAUACAGGGUUAUCCACUAAGGAUAGAACUUUAAUGAUGACCUGAACGUCUUUAAAUACAACAAGCUAAAAGUCAAAUUGGUUUAUAAUGUCAGUUUUGAUAAUUUGUCAAAGGAAUAAACAAAUUUACAGUUUCAAAGAACCAAGAAAAAAUAAACUCUGUACAGUCGUUUUUAAAGUCUCAUCCUUGGAGUUAAACAAUAUUUUCCAGGAAAGCUAUCGGGCGUCUUUGAUCAUGAAAUAUUAAUUAAGUGGUUUAAGACUUAAACCUCCAGUGAGUGCAGUGACCCUCCAUGUAAAGACUCUUGAGUGAUAUUUCUGCAUUAAUCCGCAGAUACUGUUCAAGAGAGGUUUGACGGAUUCACAAUUAUCACUUUAAAACCUUUAUCUGAUCAUUACGGUGGAGGAUUUAGCCAAUGUUAUAGCUUUAACCCAAUUCAGCCUGACGUCUGGUAUACUUACCAUGGUUGGCGGGGGGGGGGGGGGCAAAUUCACCCCCCCUCUAUUUU